rnacentral:lncRNA from 1 species
GAGAAGUUGGGGUCUGACUAGACGCUUACGGGGCCUCGGACCCCGGCGCCGCGGCGACCUCGGAGGAACCGGCUCCUUGCGUCCCGCCUCCCUGGGAGCUCCGCACGGCAAUCUCCAUUGGUGCUACUGCGUUUAAAGGAUUUGCAGAUUUACAGAAUGGCUGCACAUUAAUGGAAAGAGAAGCAUAAACCUAUCUUCUUUCAUUAUGGAGGGAGGUUUGGCAGAUGGAGAACCUGAUCGAACUUCGCUUCUUGGUGAUAGCAAAGAUGUCCUUGGGCCAUCAACAAACAGUGACGAAUCUCAGCUUCUGACACCAGGAAAGAUGAGUCAGCGCCAAGGAAAAGAAGCUUAUCCAACGCCAAC